UACGUAGGGUGCGAGCGUUGUCCGGAAUUAUUGGUCGUAAAGAGCUCGUAGGCGGUCUGUCGCGUCUGCUGUGAAAUCCCGAGGCUCAACCUCGGGCCUGCAGUGGGUACGGGCAGACUAGAGUGCGGUAGGGGAGAUUGGAAUUCCUGGUGUAGCGGUGGAAUGCGCAGAUAUCAGGAGGAACACCGAUGGCGAAGGCAGAUCUCUGGGCCGUAACUGACGCUGAGGAGCGAAAGCGUGGGGAGCGAACAGG
rnacentral:rRNA from 1 species